UGAGGUGUCCACUAAUAUUAAAGUGAACUAGUUCUAAAGUACUCCUUGCUCUCCAUCACUUUCUUUAUGGAAAUAGAUUACUGUGUUUUUUUCAAACAACACAUUCUUCAAAAACUUGAGAAGGAAUGACAAGUAGAGGAAGACAUGUUACCAUAUUUUUUUUUUGGAGAGUUUCUAAUCAACCAAAAAUUCAAGUGGCUAUAUUGAAAAUGCCAAAGCCAUGAAGAAUUC
rnacentral:lncRNA from 1 species